rnacentral:ncRNA from 1 species
CAAAGGCUUGGUCCUGACUUUACUAUCAGCUCUAACCCAAUUUAUACAUGCAAGUAUCCGCACCCCCGUGAGAAUGCCCUCAGUCCCCUGAUCGGGGACGAGGAGCAGGCAUCAGGCACAAUCAACCUAGCCCAAGACGCCUUGCUAUGCCACACCCCUAAGGGAUUUCAGCAGUAAUAAACAUUAAGCCAUAAGUGUAAACUUGACUUAGUUAGGAUUAUAGAGGGUCGGUAAAAUUCGUGCCAGCCACCGCGGUUAUACGAAAGACCCUAGUUGAUAGCACGGCGUAAAGAGUGGUUAAGGAAAUAUAAAAAUAAAGCUAAAAGGCCCUCUAAGCUGUUAUAAGCCCCUCGAAGGCAAGAAACCCAAACACGAAAGUAGCUUUAAACAAAAACCACCUGACUCCACGAAAGCUAAGAAACAAACUGGGAUUAGAUACCCCACUAUGCUUAGCCAUAAACCUUAUAUGUCACCACACAUUCGCCCGGGUACUACAAGCCACAGCUCAAAACCCAAAGGACUUGGCGGUGUCUCAGAACCACCUAGAGGAGCCUGUUCUAAAACCGAUAAUCCCCGUUAAACCUUACCACUCCUUGUCUCGCACCGUCUAUAUACCGCCGUCGUCAGCUUACCCUGUAAAGGUACAACAGUGAGCAAAAUUGGCCUACCCAAAAACGUCAGGUCGAGGUGUAGCGUACGGAGUGGGUAGAAAUGGGCUACAUUUUCUACAACAGAGCAUACGAACGACAUCCUGAAAUACUGUGUCACAAAGGUGGAUUUAGUAGUAAAAAGCAAAUAGAGUGUCCUUUUGAAUUAGGCUCUGAGACGCGCACACACCGCCCGUCACUCUCCCCUCAUCCUCAAUACCCAAAAUUAAUUCAUAAUAACACAAUCACCAACACGGGGAGGCAAGUCGUAACAUGGUAAGUGUACCGGAAGGUGCACUUGGAAUAAUCAGAGCGU